rnacentral:rRNA from 1 species
CAGCGGCGAACGGGUGAGUAACACGUGGGUAAUCUGCCCUCGGUUCUGGGAUAGCCCGGGGAAACCCGGAUUAAUACCGGAUAGCCUCUUGAGCCUUCGGGUUCUCGAGAAAAGGUAGCUUCGGCCUCCGACUGAGGAUGAGCCCGCGGCGGAUUAGCUUGUUGGCGGGGUAACGGCCCACCAAGGCUACGAUCCGUAGCUGGUCUGAGAGGACGAUCAGCCACACUGGGACUGAGACACGGCCCAGACUCCUACGGGAGGCAGCAGUGGGGAAUCUUGCGCAAUGGGCGAAAGCCUGACGCAGCGACGCCGCGUGCGGGAAGAAGGCCUUCGGGUUGUAAACCGUUUUCAGGGGGGACGAAGCCACUCGGGUUAAUAGCCCAGAGGGUGACGGUACCUCCAGAAGAAGCCCCGGCUAACUACGUGCCAGCAGCCGCGGUAAUACGUAGGGGGCAAGCGUUGUCCGGAUUUAUUGGGCGUAAAGAGCGUGUAGGCGGCCAGCUAGGUCUGACGUGAAAUCUCGAGGCUCAACCUCGAGCGGUCGUUGGAAACCGUCUGGCUAGAGUCCGGAAGAGGAGAGUGGAAUUCCUGGUGUAGCGGUGAAAUGCGCAGAUAUCAGGAAGAACACCCAUGGCGAAGGCAGCUCUCUGGGACGGUAC